rnacentral:rRNA from 1 species
CCUACGGGAGGCAGCAGUAGGGAAUCUUCGUCAAUGGGCGCAAGCCUGAACGAGCGAUGCCGCGUGAGUGAAGAAGGCCUUCGGGUCGUAAAGCUCUGUUGCGGGGGAAAAAAGGCAGCAUCAGGAAAUGGGUGCUGACUGAUGGUGCCCCGCCAGAAAGUCACGGCUAACUACGUGCCAGCAGCCGCGGUAAUACGUAGGUGGCGAGCGUUAUCCGGAAGGAUUGGGCGUAAAGGGUGCGCAGGCGGUCCUGCAAGUCUGGAGUGAAACGCAUGAGCUCAACUCAUGCAUGGCUUUGGAAACUGGAGGACUGGAGAGCAGGAGAGGGCGGUGGAACUCCAUGUGUAGCGGUAAAAUGCGUAGAUAUAUGGAAGAACACCAGUGGCGAAGGCGGCCGCCUGGCCUGUUGCUGACGCUGAGGCACGAAAGCGUGGGGAGCAAAUAGGAUUAGAUACCCUAGUAGUC